AGUGGACGGUGUGCGUAGUGUCCAUCUGCGUUUAGUGCCGUCUCUGGUCCGUGUCUUACAGGCUGUGAGACGGUUCUCACACCACACUCACAGCCACAGAUCCACUGGAGAUCAUAGUACUGGCCCAGUGACGUCUAAAUGACUAUCCACCACUGGCCAGCCUCCAUAGUCUCCUACAAAA
rnacentral:snoRNA from 1 species